rnacentral:tRNA from 1 species
GUGUCCGUGGUGUACCGGUCGUGCACACCAGACUGUGACUCUGGAGGAGACGGGUUCGACUCCCUCCGGACACCC